rnacentral:rRNA from 1 species
AUUGAACGCUGGCGGCAGGCCUAACACAUGCAAGUCGAACGAGUGGCGGACGGGUGAGUAAUGUCUGGGAAACUGCCCGAUGGAGGGGGAUAACUACUGGAAACGGUAGCUACUACCGCAUACCAUCGGAUGUGCCCAGCUGGGAUUAGCUAGUAGGUGGGGUAACGGCUCACCUAGGCGACGAUCCCUAGCUGGUCUGAGAGGAUGACCAGCCAACAGGUAACUGAGACACUGUCCAGACUCCUACGGGAGGCAGCAGUGGGGAAUAUGGCACAAUGGGCGCAAGCCUGAUGCAGCCAGGCCGCGUGUAUGAAGAAGGCCUUCGGGUUGUAAAGUACUUUCAGCGAGGAGGCGUUACUCGCAGAAGAAGCACCGGCUAACUCCGUGCCAGCAGCCGCGGUAAUUC